rnacentral:lncRNA from 1 species
CUAGCAUGGCCGCAACGGAAUCAAUAACAAGCAAUUUCACAUUAAAACUACUGCAACAUCAAUUGAUGGAAGUAAGAUGAGGGCAGAACUUGAUAACGGGAAAACAGAAACAGCUUUGAACAGAUAAUCGCGACCAAGAUUUGACGACGGACCUAGAAUCGGCACCGAAAAAUCUAACAAACAAGGAUUUAGACCCAAACGAACUCAAGCCAUGAACUUCUGAUAGUAAAACAACUCCAAACCCGUUUCUGUUUCAAUUUUUUUUCCGAAAUGAUAUAGAAUCAAAAGAAAUUUCAAACAAUCAUAACAGUCCAGUCUACCUCCCUCCUUGUCCGUUUAGAGCUUCUGUUAGUGUGUGCGCGCGUGUUUCUCUGGCAACUCUGCUAGGGAGUUGCGGGUUCGAGCUAGUACCUGAUUUUGUUGGCUUUUAGGAUGUUCGUUUGAGGUUUUUAUGUGUUUUGUUUGUUUUAUUUGAUUUUCAUUUUGUUUAUAUUUUUUAUUAUUUACUAGCUGCUUAUGUGUUUACAGUUUUACUUUAUGUGUUUACUGCUUCAUAAAUGUCAUCAUUUGCAUAACCCCGAGUCUUCUUUCUGCAAGAAGUCUUCCAGAGUACGUUUGAGUGUACACGGCCUUUAUGUGAGUCACACGUGUCUUUAGGGGGUGGCGUGGGAGCGUGGAGUGGGAGGACAGCUAGAACAGUCAUUAUCGACCAUGUGCCACUCCGAAUUGCUUGUUAAUGAACCCCAAACUUAGGUCAGCCUUGGGUCAUUUUUAUUUGCAUCAUGUCAAUUUACACCUAGUAGGGCUCGGUCCCAGGUACCGUGUCCCUUUGUAGGGAACCUGUCCAAAUUUUGUCAAAAUGGGUUCGUGGCCCAAAAAGACAUUCAAUCUUCCAUGUGUGAUAC